rnacentral:rRNA from 1 species
GGUUGAUCCUGCCGGAGGUCACUGCUAUUGGGAUUCGAUUAAGCCAUGCGAGUCGAGAGGGUUCGGCCCUCGGCGGACUGCUCAGUAACACGUGGAUAAUCUGCCCUUAGGUGGAGCAUAACCUCGGGAAACUGAGAAUAAUACUCCAUAGGUUUAGGAUGCUGGAACGCGCCUAAACUGAAAGAUUUAUCGCCUAAGGAUGAGUCUGCGGACUAUCAGGUAGUAGUCAGGGUAAGGACCUGACUAGCCUACAACGGAUACGGGUUGUGAGAGCAAUAACCCGGAGAUGAUAUCUGAGACACGAUAUCGGGCCCUACGGGGCGCAGCAGGCGCGAAACCUUCGCACUGUGUGAAAACACGAUGAGGGGAUCCCAAGUGCUUGCACGUAAGUGUAAGCUGUUUCUUUGUUUAAAAUGCAUAGAGAGUAAGGGCUGGGUAAGACGGGUGCCAGCCGCCGCGGUAAUACCUGCAGCUCAAGUGGUGACCGCUAUUAUUGGGCCUAAAACGUCCGUAGCCUGCUUGGUAAAUGCCUGGGUAAAUCGCAUCGCUUAACGAUGCGAAUUCCGGGUAGACUGUCAAGCUUGAGACCGGGAGAAGUUAGAGGUACUCCUGGGGUAGAGGUGAAAUUCUGUAAUCCUAGGGGGACCACCAGUGGCGAAAGCGUCUAACUAGAACGGGUCUGACGGUGAGGGACGAAGCCCUGGGGCGCGAACCGGAUUAGAUACCCGGGUAGUCCAGGGUGUAAACGCUGCUUGCUUGAUGUUAGUCGGGCUCCGAGCCCGAUUAGUGUCGGAGAGAAGUUGUUAAGCAAGCUGCCUGGGAAGUACGGCCGCAAGGCUGAAACUUAAAGGAAUUGGCGGGGGAGCACAGCAACGGGUGGAGCGUGCGGUUUAAUUGGAUUC